rnacentral:rRNA from 1 species
UACGUAGGGGGCAAGCGUUAUCCGGAUUUACUGGGUGUAAAGGGAGCGUAGACGGCAUGGCAAGCCAGAUGUGAAAUACCGGGGCUCAACCCCGGGACUGCAUUUGGAACUGUUAAGCUGGAGUGUCGGAGAGGCAGGCGGAAUUCCUAGUGUAGCGGUGAAAUGCGUAGAUAUUAGGAGGAACACCAGUGGCGAAGGCAGCCUGCUGGACGAUAACUGACGUUGAGGCUCGAAAGCGUGGGGAGCAAACAGG